UACGGGGGAUGCAAGCGUUAUCCGGAUUUAUUGGGUUUAAAGGGUGCGUAGGCUGUGAGGUAAGUCAGCGGUGAAAUGCCCCCGCUCAACGGGGUGAAGUGCCAUUGAUACUGCCUUGCUGGAAUGCGGAUGCCGUGGGAGGAAUGUGUGGUGUAGCGGUGAAAUGCAUAGAUAUCACACAGAACACCGAUUGCGAAGGCAUCUCACGAAUCCGCUAUUGACGCUGAUGCACGGAAGCGUGGGUAUCAAACUGG
rnacentral:rRNA from 1 species